rnacentral:rRNA from 1 species
UACGGAGGGUGCGAGCGUUGUCCGGAAUCACUGGGCGUAAAGGGCGCGUAGGCGGCCUGAUAAGUAGGGGGUGAAAUCCUGCGGCUUAACCGCAGGGCUGCCUUCUAAACUGUCAGGCUCGAGCACAGUAGAGGCAGGUGGAAUUCCCGGUGUAGCUGUGGAAUGCGUAGAGAUCGGGAAGAACAUCAGUGGCGAAGGCGGCCUGCUGGGCUGUUGCUGACGCUGAGGAGCGAAAUCGUGGGGAGCGAACAGG